CCCCCUAAACGAGUGACGUAAUUAAUGGAUGGCCAUUAGUAUUAGAACACUAGUCACAUAUUACAAAAUGCCGGGUAAAAAUGCGCAUAUCAUAUCUACUAUUAAUUUUAAUAUCUAAUAAUUAUUACAUAGUAAGGAAUACUAUUAAUAUAUUGUCUCUAAUACUAUCGAAGUACAUGGAAUCAUAAUGAAAUAUAUAGGGUGUUCUAAAAGUAUCUGCCACGGCUUUAAUGGGAGGUAGUGUUGUGUUUGAAGAUUACAAUAGUGAAGAAAUUUUGUACCCCGGACCAGUUAAUUCAAUUUGAGAACAUAAAGAAGUUAAAUAAACAUUGACUCUACUCUGUAUAAAGUGGUUCACAAAUACGCACGAUGCGUCGCUUCGUCAAUGAAAACAAUUGCUAUCAAUUG